UAAGGAAUAUUGGUCAAUGGAGGCAACUCUGAACCAGCCAUGCCGCGUGCAGGAUGAAGGCCCUAUGGGUCGUAAACUGCUUUUAUACCAGAGAAAACCCCAGUACGUGUACUGGGUUGAUAGUAUGGUAAGAAUAAGCAUCGGCUAACUUCGUGCCAGCAGCCGCGGUAAGACGAAGGAUGCAAGCGUUAUCCGGAUUCAUUGGGUUUAAAGGGUGCGUAGGCGGACUUGUAAGUCAGUGGUGAAAUCUCUCAGCUUAACUGAGAAACUGCCAUUGAUACUGCAGGUCUAGAGUAUAGAUGACGUUGGCGGAAUAUGACAUGUAGUGGUGAAAUACUUAGAUAUGUCAUAGAACACCGAUUGCGAAGGCAGCUAACGAAACUAUAACUGACGCUGAGGCACGAAAGUGCGGGGAUCAAACAGGAUUAGAUACCCACGUAGUCCCUGAGCGGGCUGGCAAGGCGCAU
rnacentral:rRNA from 1 species